UUCGAGGUGGCGGACGGGUGAGUAACGCGUGGGUAACCUGCCUUACACAGGGGGAUAACACCUGGAAACAGGUGCUAAUACCGCAUAAGCGCACAGGGCCGCAUGGCCCGGUGUGAAAAACUCCGGUGGUGUAAGAUGGACCCGCGUCUGAUUAGCUUGUUGGCGGGGUAGGGGCCCACCAAGGCGACGAUCAGUAGCCGGCCUGAGAGGGUGGAGGCCACAUUGGGACUGAGACACGGCCCAAACUCCUACGGGAGGCAGCAG
rnacentral:rRNA from 1 species